GAAGGGAAGUGCAUACUUGCAUGUAUUAUUGGAUCUUCAGUCCAAUUAGUAGGACUGUUUUGGUUGAUAGAUGCCCGGAUGUAACAUUGUUUCCUGUUGGUUGUUCUUUGGUGUACUGCUGAAAGUGGCCUAAGUGGUUCAUUUCAGAUAUGAAACUGGUUGAAUUUUUUGCUUGAACCAGCCGUAGGAUUUUUCUUCUUUUAGGUCCUCUCUCUCUAUCUUUUUUUUUUUUUCCGGUGACUAGUGGUAAGAUCUUUUUAGAUCAAUGAAAUUCUAUGUUCUUU
rnacentral:misc_RNA from 1 species